GUUUUUGUUUUGAUUUUGCGCGGGAAAGAUUAUGAAUAUAAUGAACGGAACAAGCCGUUGUUUAAUAAGGUUUUCAAAUUUGACGUAAACAUAAAUAUAAUAUUUUACAAUAAUUUAUUUUGUAAUAUACUGUGGAAUUUUAAACUGAAUAAAAGAAAAGAAAAAUAUUUUUCAAACUGAAUAAAAUAAAUAUUUUUGGUAUUUUGUUACUUUUACAAUAAUUUAUUUUGUAGAAUAAUGUAGAAUUUUAAAUUGAAUAAGAGACAUAUCUUUUUGGUAUUUUAUUACUUUUACAAUAACUUAUUUUGUAAAAUACUGUAGAAUUAUAAACUGAAUAAAAGAAAUGCAUUUUUCAAAUUUAAUAAAAGAAAUGUUUUUUGUAUUUUCUUAUUUAUACAAUAAUUUAUUCUGUAAAAUAUUAUAUAAUUUAGUUUAACAAUGAUUGCAAAAUAAUUCAAAUUCGGACCCCUACCUCUAACAAUAAUAUUUUUAAAUAGUCAUUCAAUGAUUCUUGCAAACGACAAGAGUAAGAGCAUGAUGAACGCUGUUUCUUAAGUCUGUCUCUUAGUAUUAUUAGGAUUAAAAAAAAAAGAAAUUGGCUUCAAUGUGAAAAAACGUCUCUUAAUUAGGAGUUACAAGAGACGGGUCUUACGACACACGUGUCUCCCUCUGGGCUUUCAUCUCUUCCGCGACUUCUCUCCUUCUUCUGCGAUUCCGAUAUUGCUCUCUUGGGUUUGAAGGAGGAGCUUGGCUCUCUCGAUUGGGGCCACGAUCGUGUGGACGACGCCUCCCAUCACGGCUCCGGCGAGUAGCCGUUCGUCCUCUCUAGAUUCUUCCAUCUCUCUUCCUGUCCUUUUCUAUACCCACCGCUCUCUAAAAGGUGUAACCUUUUUCACUUUUACAUGACAACAAUGGCGGAUUGGGCUCCGGUUAUCGUCGGCGUCAUCCUCUUAGUGAUUCUCUCGCCUGGACUUCUCUUCUCACUGCCCCGAACCAACCGAGGAGUAGACUUCGGUAAUCUCAAAAUCAACGGAAAAGCCAUAGCUGUUCACACUCUCAUCUUACUUCGAGAUUUACUCCAUUUUGAUCAUCGCCGUCAAUCUACACAUCUACACCGGUUGAUUCUCUUCUGGGUAUCUCUCUGUUUUCGUUGUUUGUAUGAAUUAAAGGUACUUAGAAACUCUGUAAAUUAGGGGUUUUAUAUACCUUAAAUCUGUAGUUUCUUUUUUUUCUUGUUGAUGUUGUAACAGACAGAUAUGGUGAAAGUUCUGUUUCGUACUUGUAUUGUAAUGUUUACUUCAGUUUGCUUUUUACUUUAAAGUCUCUUUAGCUCUGUUUAUUUGCUCAAAUUCAGACAAAAGUUGCUUACUUUCUGUCAUCUUUCUUUAAACAUGUUGAACGAGAGAUUUGUACAUUACAUUGGAGCUUUUGAAGCAUAUGAGUUUUGAUUAUGUCAAGCUUUGGGUUGCGUGUGUUGCGAUUGAUACAUAGCUUGUCUUUGGGAGCAGCAUUCAGUUCUCCGACGUCUCCCAUGAUCAAGCAUCCAAAGAGAAGAAAGAAGUAGAGGAUGAGAUUGGUGAUUGUUUUUGUUUGGUCUUGAAUGCUUUGCUUGGUAUGCAUUGUUUGGUCUUGUUUUUUUGAGCAACAAAAAACAACAUUUUUCUAAGAACCCCUAAAUAAGAAACUAAUUGGAGGGUAUGAAUCAAGGUGUUUCUUAAA